AAAAAAUAUGUCAAAACUGUAAUUUGUCAUGAGCGCAUAUUCUGUAAAUUAAAUUUAUUGUGUUUAUGAAUAUUUUUAUAAAAGUUAUUAGGUACAUAUUGAUGAUGAAUGUGGAGUUAAUAAAACCUUAAAUUGAUUCCGAGUAACUUGCAAAGUUUAUAUUCAACAAGCUACUUUGAGAAAAUCGGCAAUACUCAGAAGUUGUACAUUUGGAAUUGGAAGAUGGUUUGUGUAUCCGAGACAGUAGCAAUAUUGGCAGUUGCAUCUUUUUUUGCUUGCCUACCCUCUUUACGUAAUGUGUUCAUAGCUGGAUACAAGAAGUGUUUUAAGAAAUAAUAUGAGGAAAUAGGCACUUGGAGAAGCGGCAGGCCUGGCACUGGUUCCGACGGGUGACGUCCACGAUACAGCGCCCACUCUCUUUACACACGUAGUCUAAGUUUCUACAGGCGACAAUUGAAAAUUUAAAUAUACACAGUAUAUUCCCGUAUUCUCCCUGAAGUGGUUUCCGCGUUAGAGUUCCGGCGCCUUAUGACGACUUUCCCACGGAGUUCCUGAGGGAAGUGAGGGAACGUGCCUAACCCAUUAUUUACCAAUUACGCUUUCGAGCCAAGUGUGCGUACAUACAUUUUCAUUCUUUCGCAAGAUGUGUUGUAGGGAAACUCAGACUUAAAAGUUUUGUCGAUGUCCUUAAAACGUCAAAAAUGGUAGUCAAAUAAUUCAUUAAAAAAUUUUCAAGUUUUUUAUAUCUCUCUCUAUAUCCAACUAAUGAUACAACAAUUGAUAAAGAAAUGUUUUACCUUUUCUUUUAUUGUGUACCGUUACUAGCAUAAUGCAAUACCCACAAAAAAAAUUCAUGUCUGUAAAACUCAUAAUGUCUCAUUCUACUCAAUAAUUAUUAAUUCAUGAUUAAAUUUCUAACAAAAUACAACUACUAUAAAUAAGAGAGAGACACAUCUAUGGUUCUUUUUUUGAUACUUUUACUACCUUCGAAUGAAAAAUG